rnacentral:tRNA from 1 species
GCAGAUGUGGCGAAAUUGGCAGACGCACUAGACUUAGGAUCUAGCGCCGAGAGGCAUGGGGGUUCAAGUCCCUUCAUCUGCACCA